AUGACAGGCAAAGCAAGAGAGCAAAGGCAAAACAGAAACAAAGAAAAAAGAAGAAGAGAUCAAGUGCUACACGCAAGAACAAAGAGCAGGAAAAGCUACAAAGCAUUUGAAAGUAUAAGUCAUUUCAUUCUUUUUAAUCUCUUUUUUGGGUUGGUUUUCUCUCUGUUUUGUAGAAAGAAAAGAAGCAUUUUGCUUUUCAACCUCUUCCAUUCCUCUAAGCAAGGAAGAAAGUGGAGCUCUGGAAAUUUCAAAAUCAACUACCUACGGUUAGGGAAUCCCCCAACUCCUGCCGUCCUCCAUCUCCACCACAACCUAGCUCCUUGUUGCUGUCAUUAGUCCCAUGAAUUUCUUCGAGGUGGUCUAAACCAUCCCGUGAAGUUCCAAUCAAAUCUAAAUGAUCCCUCCACACUUCCCGUCGCAACAUGGCUAUGCUUCGUGGAGUCCAGGAAUUCCAUGACGUUGCUGUGCCCAAAGCUGAAGGCAUCGGCCCUUUCGUAGUCCAAGAGCACGACAAGAAGGAAAAGACAGCAGCCAUUUGUGACUUGGUGAUUGCUAUAACGCAAGACAAUAGCUAUGCAAAGACACUGCUCGAAGGUAUGCCGUUAAAGGCAUAGCAGCUAUGUUUGAAAGUGGUGUAGCUAUACAACAACAACAACAACAAAGCCUUUUCCCACUAAGUGGGGUUGGCUAUAUGAAUCCUAGAACGCCAUUGCGCUCGGUUUUGUGUCAUGUCCUCCGUUAGAUCCAAGUACUCUAAGUC
rnacentral:lncRNA from 1 species